rnacentral:tRNA from 1 species
CCGACCUUAGCUCAGUUGGUAGAACGGAAGAAUGUAGUAGUUGCUGUAAUCUUUUAGGUCGCUGGUUCGAUUCCGGCAGGUCGGA